GACGAACGCUGGCGGCGUGCUUAAUACAUGCAAGUCGAGGGACGAAACCGAGAUGGGCAACCAUCGAGGCUGAAACCGGCGAACGGGUGAGUAACACGUGGGUAACGCGACCCCAGACACAGGAACAACAACGGGAAACCGUUGCUAAUGCCUGAUAACCCUGCUUGCCGCAUGGCGGCAGGGCAAAAGCUCCGGCGGUCUGGGACCGGCCCGCGUCCUAUCAGCUUAGUUGGGGGGUAAUGGCCUACCAAGGCGAUGACGGGUAG
rnacentral:rRNA from 1 species